rnacentral:rRNA from 1 species
UAAUACGUAGGGUGCGAGCGUUAAUCGGAAUUACUGGGCGUAAAGCGUGCGCAGGCGGUUUUUUAAGAUAGGCGUGAAAUCCCCGGGCUCAACCUGGGAACUGCGCUUAUGACUGGAAGACUAGAGUAUGGCAGAGGGGGGUGGAAUUCCACGUGUAGCAGUGAAAUGCGUAGAGAUGUGGAGGAACACCGAUGGCGAAGGCAGCCCCCUGGGCCAAUACUGACGCUCAUGCACGAAAGCGUGGGGAGCAAACAGGAUUAGAUACCCUGGUAGUCCACGCCCUAAACGAUGUCAACUAGGUGUUGGGUGGGUAAAACCAUUUAGUACCGUAGCUAACGCGUGAAGUUGACCGCCUGGGGAGUACGGCCGCAAGGUUAAAACUCAAAGGAAUUGACGG